rnacentral:rRNA from 1 species
AUUGAACGCUGGCGGCAGGCCUAACACAUGCAAGUCGAGCGGAGCGGCGGACGGGUGCGUAAUGCCUAGGAAUCUGCCUGGUCGUGGUGGAUAACGUCCGGCAACGGGCGCUAAUACCGCAUACUCUCAGAUGAGCCUAGGUCGGAUUAGCUAGUUGGUGGGGUAAAGGCUUAACAGGGCGACGAUCCGUAUCUGGUCUGAGAGGAUGAUCAGUCACACUGGAACUGAGAAACGGUCCAGACUCCUACGGUAGGAAGCAGUGGGGAAUAGUGGAAAAGGGGCGAAAGCCGGAGCCAGCCAUGCCGAGUGGGUGAAGAAGGUCUUCGGAUUGUAAAGCACUUUAAGUUGGGAGGCGUUACCAACAGAAUAAGCACCGGCUAACUCCGUGCCAGCCGCCGCGGUAAUUC